AGAGGGUGCGAGCGUUAAUCGGAAUUACUGGGCGUAAAGCGCGCGUAGGUGGAUAUUUAAGUCGGAUGUGAAAUCCCUGGGGCUCAGCCUAGGAAUUGCAUUCGAUACUGGAUAUCUUGAGUAUAGUAGAGGGAAGUGGAAUUUCCGGUGUAGCGGUGAAAUGCGUAGAUAUCGGAAGGAACAUCAGUGGCGAAGGCGACUUCCUGGACUAAUACUGACACUGAGGUGCGAAAGCGCGGGGAGCAAACAGGAUUAGAGACCCUGGUAGUCCACGCCGUCAACGAUGAGAACUAGACGUUGGAGAGUAAUCUUUAGUGUCGAAGCUAACGCGAUAAGUUCUCCGCCUGGGGAGUACGGCCGCAAGGUUA
rnacentral:rRNA from 1 species